AAGAGUUUGAUCAUGGCUCAGAGUGAACGCUGGCGGUAGGCCUAACACAUGCAAGUCGAACGGCAGCACAGUAAGAGCUUGCUCUUAUGGGUGGCGAGUGGCGGACGGGUGAGGAAUACAUCGGAAUCUACUUUUUCGUGGGGGAUAACGUAGGGAAACUUACGCUAAUACCGCAUACGACCUUCGGGUGAAAGCAGGGGACCUUCGGGCCUUGCGCGAUUGAAUGAGCCGAUGUCGGAUUAGCUAGUUGGCGGGGUAAAGGCCCACCAAGGCGACGAUCCGUAGCUGGUCUGAGAGGAUGAUCAGCCACACUGGAACUGAGACACGGUCCAGACUCCUACGGGAGGCAGCAGUGGGGAAUAUUGGACAAUGGGCGCAAGCCUGAUCCAGCCAUACCGCGUGGGUGAAGAAGGCCUUCGGGUUGUAAAGCCCUUUUGUUGGGAAAGAAAAGCAGCGGGCUAAUACCCAGCUGUUCUGACGGUACCCAAAGAAUAAGCACCGGCUAA
rnacentral:rRNA from 1 species